GUUUUGCUCUUUCCCGUUGUUUUUCCCUGGUGUCUCAGGAAUUUCUCGUGGCCGUGUCUGCAGCAUUCCCUGGGAAUUUGGGAUUUUGCAGCCCGGUGCCAGUGCUGGGCAGGGACAGCCAGCCAAUCUGUCUGUCGGUGGCAGCCCCGAGGUGCCCACAAAGCUCUUUCACAGCUCAUAAUGGAGCCAUUGAGAGCCCGCAGUUAUUUGGAGUUGUUUGGGGUUGAGUCAGCCUUGGCAGCCGCCAGCCCUGCGCACAUUUCCCUUUCUCCCCUUUUUUGAAGUGCACUUUUCUUUUCCAGCUCCACAGACAAGGGACCUUUAUCAGCUUCCACUUCAUCUCCGCCCAGCAAAGCUGCACCCGGCCCUGCCAGAGAAACUUCCAGAACUUCUUCCUUUGGGGACUCGCGGCUCCCAGUGGUUGGAAAGCCUGAAAUGCUUUGGCUGCCAGCGCCUGCAGGACUGAGGGAUCCGCCCCAGCCUCUCCAUUGGCAGAGGAGGAUCCCUCAUUCCCAGGAGCUCUGACACGGCCGCCUCGUGGCAAGCUGAGAUCCCCAAGGAUGGAGCUGGCCUGGAAUCCCCAUGGACUGAGGAAGCACCGGGGAAAAAUGGAAUAAACUCCCGGAGCAGGCAGCUGAGAGGAGAAAACGGGAUCAGCACGUUUGGAUCAGCACGUUUGCAGGAGCUGGGAUGUGCUGGAGUGGGAUCUGCCAGGGGUGAGUGCAGCACGACGGGGGAAACCCCAAAACAAAUUGGAAUUUUUUUCCUGUUGAAGGAAAAGAAGUUUUUACCUUUGGUGUUGAAUUUUGUGGCAGAAACCAAGGCGAAAGGGGCAAAUCCAGUGGGGUGGGUAAUUCCAGGUUAUUUGGGAUUCGCUGAUGGGGACGAACCUCAGUGGCACUGAGGAGAAUCCAUCAGAGCUCCUCCCUCCCUGGUGGUCCCACAUGUGGGAAAAUUGGGGAAAAAAUAGGAAAAAAAAAGGGGAAAAAUUAAGAAAAAAAUUGGGGAAAAAUUGGGGGAAAAUUAGGAGAAAAUUGGGGAAAAUUAGGAAAAAAUUGGUUAAACAUUGAGGAAAAAUUGGGGAAAAAUUAAGAAAAAAUUGGGGGAAAUUGGGAUAAGUGAUGGAGAAUUGGGAGUCAAACAAAUUGAGUGUGACAGAAGAAAAAAAAAAAAAAAGAAAGCCAAGCCUUGCCUGGAUUUGCUUGCUGGGAGUGCCACGAAGUCAAGUAUCUUAUUAAGUUCAAGAGAAUUACAUUUUCCAUGCUCCAGAGAGAGACACGAGCCCUUUGGAAAAUCAUAAUGAAGGGCUUUGUGCCACCCUCAUUUCCAUAGCUGUGAUAAAUGGCUGUAACCAGAUUAGGCAGAUAAAAUAACCAGUCUAUUAAUUACAGUGAUUAUUAUUUAAUAGAAAGUGGGAUUCAGCAAUGCAUUAUAGGGAUGUGCUGGUUUAUCUUUGGGAGGGAGAUAAGUGUCCGGCUCCUCUGCAAUCCAAGGAAUGUGUUCAUUACCUGGGCAAGAUUUAUAAGUAUAAUUGAGGGGAAUAUUUGAAAACUCUUUGCCGUAUUUGGUGAACCAGGCAGGGCUGCUGCUUUAAUUAAGCUGCCUAAAUGAACUUAUCAAGCAGGGACCCGUUUGUGGGGAAUUACUGCAAACUUUGGGAGCUGCGAGAGCCCCAGCGUUGUUAUCUGCAGCCCUGCGUGUGUUUUAGGGCUGGCUGGUGGAAAUUC
ensembl:lncRNA